GAGAAAUUAGUUAAAAAAUAACAUUAGCAUGUCAUACUAAAAUUAUUAAACCCAUUAAUAUUUCUCU
rnacentral:tRNA from 2 species